rnacentral:lncRNA from 1 species
UUCUUCCUGUCUCUUGUCCCUCCCUCUCUCUCUCCCCUGCCCCAGGUCCCCGAUGAUUAUCUCUGCAGGUCGGGGCAAACUGGUGCCCAACCUGGGACCUCUGGGUCUGGAGUCUGAGAGAGACCACUCUGCACUGAACUGCCAUUUCAUCAGGAAGUGGGUGAAGGUCCUCACAGAGAUCGCUGCAAUGUCACCUGCACUGUGAGAUUGAUCCAAGAAAGCGCUUUUCUCCAAGACACUGCUACCCACUGAGAGGCUGAACCUGUUUUCCUGAGACAUUCCUGAAUAAGCAACAGCCUGGCAACCCAGUGAUGACAGCCUGGUGACAAAGUAUCAAGAAUCUGGCAUGGUGGGGGAUGGGCCUUCCCCCUUUAUAAGCUCAGACUCUUAAGUAAACUUUGGG